CCUACGGGAGGCAGCAGUGGGGAAUUUUGGACAAUGGGCGCAAGCCUGAUCCAGCAAUGCCGCGUGAGUGAAGAAGGCCUUCGGGUUGUAAAGCUCUUUUGUCAGGGAAGAAACGGUGGGAGCUAAUAUCUCCUACUAAUGACGGUACCUGAAGAAUAAGCACCGGCUAACUACGUGCCAGCAGCCGCGGUAAUACGUAGGGUGCAAGCGUUAAUCGGAAUUACUGGGCGUAAAGCGCGCGCAGGCGGUUUUGUAAGUCUGUCGUGAAAGCCCCGGGCUCAACCUGGGAAUUGCGAUGGAGACUGCAAGGCUUGAAUCUGGCAGAGGGGGGUAGAAUUCCACGUGUAGCAGUGAAAUGCGUAGAGAUGUGGAGGAACACCGAUGGCGAAGGCAGCCCCCUGGGUCAAGAUUGACGCUCAUGCACGAAAGCGUGGGGAGCAAACAGGAUUAGAUACCCUGGUAGUCCACGCCCUAAACGAUGUCUACUAGUUGUCGGGUUUUAAUUAACUUGGUAACGCAGCUAACGCGUGAAGUAGACCGCCUGGGGAGUACGGUGCAAGNUUAAAACGUCAAAUGAAUUGACGG
rnacentral:rRNA from 1 species